AGGUUAAUGUAACAUUAAAGCAUAUUAAAUGUUAGCCAAUUUCAUCUCUGUUCUGUCUGCUCAACUAUGGUCAGUAACCUUUUGGUGAGAAUCAGGUAGUCACAAGUUAAUGUCACUUUUGCUUCUUGGUUUCGUGUUCUAUAAAAAGCCUACUGUUUUACCUUUUCAUAGCUCUGGCUGUGUAAAGGUUGAUGUUAAGAGAACCCAGGUGGUAGUCUAAUCUAGAGCUGCACUAGAGAGAAUGGUAAUUGGAGACUGCAGCCAAACCAAAAUUGUUGCAACUGUGUGCAGUGUCCUUGACUUUGAAGUGGCUGCUUCAGAGACCGGGCCCAGGUCUGAGACCACAUGCGGAGGGAGGGUGAAUUGAUAAUUACAUAAAAUCUGGUUUUCAAUAAUACCACAAUUACCUGUGAUAGCUCUCAAAUCUACUGCUGUCUACAGUAGAUUUGAGAGUAGAUUACAUGAUGCUGUACCAGAGCCUGGGGCAGACUUAUUACCGGUGAACUGCACAGAACAGUGCAAACUUGUAGCACAAAAAUGAGCAAGUAAUGUACAAACAAAGUAGAGUGUAAGCGCAGCUUUUAGACGGGUUUUUAAAGUUUCUCUCUGAAAACAGAGGGCAAUUCAGCUAAACGAGACCGGGCUGAAGAAGACUCACUAUGUUUAUGUUUGCCGUCUGUGUUAAUGUGCUGUUACUGUGCCACAUGUGUAAAUGCAUGCAUCUGUCUGAGCUUCUCUGCAGUGUGUGAAACUGAAUUGGUGUUAUGCAACAGGGCUGCUGUCACACAUCCUGCAGUUAGAAACUGAAUGCAUCGCUCAACAAAUGUUACGCACACGAUUUGUGGUGCAGCUGCUAUGACGUGCCGGUAAGAGCAGCUAGACUUCUCAAUUAAAAGACCUUGGCAGUGCUGCUGACAUAUUUGUGCGUGUAUUCAUUCACAAAGAUGUUGACCCCAGCGUCGACCAUGGCCCUCUGCAGGUCCGAGCCACUCAUCCACUUUCCUAUGAGUGCUCUUGCUGUCUUACCUGAAUAGUGAUGCUGAUGUUCAUGAACGCCCCGUUGACAGUGUAGAGAGCAGAGUCCUGGCCCAGUGGCCGGAGCUCCCAGCUCUGAAAAGGAAGGUUGGCAUAGGUUUUCUG